ACACGUAGGGGCCUGACGUUGUUCGGAAUCAUUGGGCGUAAAGGGCGCGCAGGCGGCCGUCCAAGUCCGGCGUUAAAUGGUCGGGCUCAACCCGAUCAUGCGCUGGAAACUGGGCGGCUUGAGUCCCGUAGGGGAUGCCGGAAUUCCAGGUGUAGGGGUGAAAUCUGUAGAUAUCUGGAAGAACACCGAUGGCGAAGGCAGGCAUCUGGCCGGAGACUGACGCUGAGGCGCGAAGGCGCGGGGAGCGAACAGGUUUAGAUACCCUGGUAGUCCGCGCAGUAAACGAUGCGCACCAGGUGUCGGGCGGCAGCGCCCGGUACCGGAGCUAACGCGAUGAGUGCGCCGCCUGGGGAGUAUGCCCGCAAGGGUGAAACUCAAAUGAAUUGACGGGG
rnacentral:rRNA from 1 species